AAGGAGACCUGAACCCAUGAUAUAAGGAUGUAUGCUGAGAGGUACAGAUCAAGGUUCAUCCACCUAUGCGUAGCUAUCCAAUUCAGACAUUAUGUGUCAUAGAUACUGUCUCUUCAAUAUGCACUGUUGGCAUCAUUGUGAAAAAUCUGGUGGCUAUAGGAGUGUGGGCUUAUAUCUGGGUCCUCUUUUAAAAUAUGACUUUAGUUUCAUGGGUUUAUAUCUGAAUCCUCUAUUCUAUUCUAUUGAGCUGCUGCAUGUUUCUGUGCUAGUACCAUGCUGUUUGGAUCACUAUGUCUCUGUAGUAUACUACAGUUUUAGGCCAGGUGACUGAGGCACCCAUUGUUCCACAUGAGAAUCGGACAGAGUUCCAAGAGUCCACUGGCAUCAACAUCCCGUGUAUUCCAUGUGAAAGCAAGAAUUGAGGAUAAGACAACUUUAGGAAACAUCAAUGAGGAGAACAAAAUAGAGUCUUGUCAAGUGUGACGAGAUUAUCUGAUGAUUGGAUGGAAAUCGUACUGCACUGUAGGAUUAGCAGCAUCAGACAAUGGGGGACUAGACUACUCAGUUGUUGGUGACAUAUGAGGCAGAAUACCUGGGGCCCUGGGCUUCUCUCUUGGGGGAGCUCCCCUAUGGUGGUGUUUUAGGACCCACUAAGGAACAAAUUGCUGAAGGAAAUCUAAGUAGAGAUAUAGUAUUCUUCAGGAGAAAUAUUUUUGUUGGAUCUCAAUCCACCAAGUUCCAGGCAGUUGAGCUGCUACAGUAAUUUCCUGGACACUCCAGAUCCUUGGAUAUUGACCACCUUUACAGGGAAAAAAAAGAAUGAUGUGUUCUGUAAGCAUUGAGCAAGGCAUAGAAAAUGUAAUGUCUUAAAUGAAACUGUUUCAGAUCUGCACACAAAUGUGGACAUUUUAAGUGCAUCCCUCUGCUGAUUCAAUAUUAUGAAAACAUCUUUUACAUUCUGAGAGACAGGAACUUUUGCUGGAUCUUAGAGACAGAGUUAAUAACACAUGUUGAUGUCCUGUUAUACUUAAAUCUCUAUCCUACUCUGUACUCAGGAUUUGUUUAAUUUGCCUUUAAGAGAACAAUGUAACACUUGGGUGGUGGUGGUACAUAGCUUUAAUCCCAGCACUCUAGAGGCAGAGACAGGCUUGAGGCCAACCCGGUCUACAGCCAAAGCUACACAGAGAAACCCUGUCUUAACACAACACACAUACACAUACACCACACACACACACACACACCCCAAAGAAACACACAAACAAGAACAAUGUAACAGCCAUCUUUACUUGCCUCAGGUUUCCCAUGUCAUCAGGUUUUACAACCCAAGCUAAUGUGUAGCUGUGAUCUUAAGUCACACACUCAGCCGUGCCCUUGAUCUGGAGUAAUGCUUGCAUGUAUGUAUGCUAUGAUAUCAAAUAUAGGUAGAAAGCAUUCUUAUAAAAUGAACACCCAUUGUAACUGUUGAAGACAAUUUAUGGAUAUUGCUUGAUAAAUAAUAAUGUUUGCUGUACUGUUAUCUGAGUUAGUGGGGUCAUUUGGAGUCAGUGACUUAAUCUUUUGUGUAUUUCAAUACAGUAUCUUUCAUUCCUUCCCCAAUAUGUUGUUUUCUGUGCUGUUCAAUAAAAGAGAGAACAAAGCCCUUAGUUAAGAUCUCUCUCUCUCUCUCUCUCUCACACACACACACACACACAAACACACACACACACACACUGGGAACUGUUUGCUGCUUCUCCAAAGCAGAGAAAAAGAAGAGAAAAGCCUGCCUACCAAGGCAGGUCAGGGUCUGCUAGAAGACUUCCCAGCCUGCUGAGGCAUAGAACAACAAGAGAUAUGCUUGAGACUCAAGGUGAGGGGCUGAAGAUUCUAUUGACCUUGGUGGAAGGAAUAGGGAGGUUUUCUGGUGAGAACAAAUGUCUUGUGUGUAUAUUUUAUCAAAUUGUUUAUGUUAGCUUGAGGCUUUGCUUUCCACAGUACUGUAGU
rnacentral:lncRNA from 1 species